UUUUUUCUAUCCCAUGUGUGGAAUAAUUUUUCCUAUGUGUACUGAGACAUGUGCAAAUGUGCACCACCAGUAGAAAUAAAAAUCUAGCUGUUGGCACAGCCGACAGCAUUUAAAUCUCUCCUGAGUGGCUGCACAAAUGCACAGCUUAGGGGGAACCCUAGUGUAGACUAUGCUGAGUAACCAGCAAAGGGAGCAAUAAAACCCAGCCAAUUUCUAAAGAUGGGCCUUUAAUUGAAGUUAUGCAAAUUUACAUUGGAACCCCCCCCCCAGGGGAGCUUCAAGGUGUCUGUUUAAAACAGAGGGCAGAUGUUACGGUCACUGAUCUUGAGGAACUUCAGGAUUUGCUGAAUGUUAAUAUUGAAAAGAACAAGCAUCUUGUCACAGGCUCAGUUCAAGCCAAGGUACUGAAAUGGGGUGAAGAUGUAAAAGAAUUUCUGCCUGCACCAGACUACAUACUUAUGGCAGAUUGCAUUUACUAUGAGGAGGUAACUAUUUGAGAACUGUAGAAA